GACGAACGCUGGCGGCGUGCCUAAUACAUGCAAGUAGAACGCUGAAGGAGGAGCUUGCUUCUCUGGAUGAGUUGCGAACGGGUGAGUAACGCGUAGGUAACCUGCCUGGUAGCGGGGGAUAACUAUUGGAAACGAUAGCUAAUACCGCAUAACAGCAGUUGUUGCAUGACAACUGUUUGAAAGGUGCAAUUGCACCACUACCAGAUGGACCUGCGUUGUAUUAGCUAGUUGGUGGGGUAACGGCUCACCAAGGCGACGAUACAUAGCCGACCUGAGAGGGUGAUCGGCCACACUGGGACUGAGACACGGCCCAGACUCCUACGGGAGGCAGCAGUAGGGAAUCUUCGGCAAUGGACGGAAGUCUGACCGAGCAACGCCGCGUGAGUGAAGAAGGUUUUCGGAUCGUAAAGCUCUGUUGUAAGAGAAGAACGAGUGUGAGAGUGGAAA
rnacentral:rRNA from 1 species